GCUACUGGUUCAUUUGGUUAUUAUUGAAGAUGUUAUCACAGGAUGGUAUUUCCGAGCUAAUGGAUCUUUGCUGCAGUAACUAAACUAUAGAGAUGGCCUCUUCAGCAAUUUUCACCAAGCAGCUGGACAAUAAAUAUGUAGUUUUAGAUACUCGCCAGUCAGGAUGCUCUGUCAAUGAAUUUAGUAUGCCCAAACUCGAAGGAGUUUCA